AUACUUACCUAGCAGAGGAGAUACCAUGAUCAUGAAGGUGGUUUUCCCAGGGCAAGACUUAUCCAUUGCACUCCGAUGUGCUGAUCCCUACAAUUUCCCCUAUUGUGGGAAACUCAACUUCAUAAUUUUUGGUAGUGGGGGACUGUUCGCACUCUCCUCUG